UAGGCGGCUUUCAGGGAUCAUUUCUAUAGUUUGCUACUACAGAACUUUCUGUGAAAGUGUAGAGCCCCCGGAAACGACAGGAGGUGCAGUUUUCUCUUGAGUGUGAAGCCGGCUCUUGGUGUUGCUUUCGCCAUUGAUGUUUCUUCUCCGUGGGGGAAUGAGAGGGAGAGGACACAGGCUGAAUGGU
rnacentral:snoRNA from 1 species